GAGUAAACGUGGGAGACCCGCCCAGAGGCGGGGGAUAACACCUGGAAACAGAUGCUAAUACCGCAUAACAACUUGGACCGCAUGGUCCGAGUUUGAAAGAUGGCUUCGGCUAUCACUUUUUGGAUGGUCCCGCGGCGUAUUAGCUAGAUGGUGGGGUAACGGCUCACCAUGGCAAUGAUACGUAGCCGACCUGAGAGGGUAAUCGGCCACAUUGGGACUGAGACACGGCCCAAACUCCUACGGGAGGCAGCAGUAGGGAAUCUUCCACAAUGGACGAAAGUCUGAUGGAGCAACGCCGCGUGAGUGAAGAAGGGUUUCGGCUCGUAAAACUCUGUUGUUAAAGAAGAACAUAUCUGAGAGUAACUGUUCAGGUAUUGACGGUAUUUAACCAGAAAGCCACGGCUAACUACGUGCCAGCAGCCGCGGUAAUACGUAGGUGGCAAGCGUUGUCCGGAUUUAUUGGGCGUAAAGCGAGCGCAGGCGGUUUUUUAAGUCUGAUGUGAAAGCCUUCGGCUCAACCCGAAGAAGUGCAUCGGAAACUGGGAAACUUGAGUGCAGAAGAGGACAGUGGAACUCCAUGUGUAGCGGUGAAAUGCGUAGAUAUAUGGAAGAACACCAGUGGCGAACGCGGCUGUCUGGUCUGUAACUGACGCUGAGGCUCGAAAGUAUGGGUAGCAACAGGAUUAGAUACCCUGGUAGUCCAUACCGUAACGAUGAUGCUAGUGUUGAGGUUUCGCC
rnacentral:rRNA from 2 species